GACGAACGCUGGCGGCGUGCUUAACACAUGCAAGUCGAACGGUGAAGCGCCUUCCUUUUUGGUGGGUGUGGAUGAGUGGCGAACGGGUGAGUAACACGUGAGUAACCUGCCCCCUUCUUCUGGAUAACCGCAUGAAAGUGUGGCUAAUACGGGAUAUUCUGGGUCUGUCGCAUGAUGGGUCUGGGAAAGAUAUUGUUUCGGUGGGGGAUGGGCUCGCGGCCUAUCAGCUUGUUGGGGGGGUGAUGGCCUACCAAGGCGGUGACGGGUAGCCGGCCUGAGAGGGUGGACGGUCACACUGGGACUGAGACACGGCCCAGACUCCUACGAGAGGCAGCAGUGGGGAAUAUUGCACAAUGGGCGCAAGCCUGAUGCAGCGACGCCGCGGGAGGGAUGGAGGCCUUCGGGUUGUGAACCUCUUUCGCCAGUGAAGCAGGCCUGCCUCGUUUGUGGGUGGGUUGACGGUAGCUGGAUAAGAAGCGCCGGCUAACUACGUG
rnacentral:rRNA from 1 species